AAGAUUUGAAAGGAAGGCCCUUCCCCUUUCUUGGGGUUCCCAGCACACCAGCUGCGUAUUGUUGGGUGCGCGCUGGUUAGGGUGUUGUUUAUUUUUAACAAAGCAGGGGAUGGCUCCGAUAAGGACGUAGGAUCCAUAGCAGAAUUGUCACCUACCCCACGCAAGUGCUAUAUGCCGCUGUCCGGUAAGUUUUCAGCUACACUUCCACUAAUGAGAACACGCUGCUGCAUCUUUACGUAGGCUCUGUUCCCUAUAAAGCCAUGGGUGGCAUGCGGUGGGCCAGAGCCUGCCAUCCG
rnacentral:lncRNA from 1 species